AUUGAACGCUGGCGGCAGGCCUAACACAUGCAAGUCGAACGAGUGGCGGACGGGUGAGUAAUGUCUGGGAAACUGCCUGAUGGAGGGGGAUAACUACUGGAAACGGUAGCUAAUACCGCAUACCAUCAGAUGUGCCCAGAUGGGAUUAGCUUGUUGGUGGGGUAACGGCUCACCAAGGCGACGAUCCCUAGCUGGUCUGAGAGGAUGACAGGCAACAGUGGAGCUGAGCCAGUGCCCUGACCCCUACGCGCGGCGCCAGGGGGGAAUAUGGCACAAGGGGAGCAGCCCUGUGGUGGCCAUGCCGCUUGUAGGAAAAGGCCCUUCGGGUUGUAACGUCCUUUCAGCGUGAAGGCGUUACCCUCGGAAGAAGCACCGGCUAACUCCGUGCCAGCAGCCGCGGUAAUAC
rnacentral:rRNA from 1 species